UACGUAGGGGGCAAGCGUUGUCCGGAAUCAUUGGGCGUAAAGAGCGUGUAGGCGGCUUGGCAAGUCCGCUGUGAAAGUCCAGGGCUCAACCCUGGAAAGCCGGUGGAAACUGUCAAGCUUGAGUCCGGAAGAGGCGAGUGGAAUUCCUGGUGUAGCGGUGAAAUGCGCAGAUAUCAGGAGGAACACCAAUGGCGAAGGCAGCUCGCUGGGACGGUACUGACGCUGAGACGCGAAAGCGUGGGGAGCAAACAGG
rnacentral:rRNA from 1 species